AAGUCGUAACAAGGUUUCCGUAGGUGAACCUGCGGAAGGAUCAUUAUUGAAUAAACUUGGCUGGGUUGUUGCUGGUUCUUUCGGGGACAUGUGCACACCCGUCAUCUUUGUAUUUCCACCUGUGCACAUUUUGUAGGUCCAAAAAAUUUUUCCCGAGACACUCGUUUGGGGGACUGCCGUUCGUUAAUGUCGGCUUCCCCUGUUGGCCUGUAUAGGUCAAAAUUUUUUUCCAAGACACUCGUCUGGGGCACUGUCAUCUGGCUUGCUCUGCAUUUAUUGGCCUAUGUUUUCAUAUACACCAUAAUGUAAUAGAAUGUUAUUAAUGGGCUUUGCCUAUAAACUAUAUACAACUUUCAGCAACGGAUCUCUUGGCUCUC
rnacentral:misc_RNA from 1 species